rnacentral:rRNA from 1 species
ACGGGAGGCAGCAGUGGGGAAUAUUGGGCAAUGGGCGAAAGCCUGACCCAGCAACGCCGCGUGAAGGGAGAAGGUCUUCGGAUUGUAAACUUCUUUUAUGAGGGACGAAGGACGUGCCGGUACCUCAUGAAUAAGCCACGGCUAACUACGUGCCAGCAGCCGCGGUAAUACGUAGGUGGCAAGCGUUAUCCGGAUUUACUGGGUGUAAAGGGCGCGUAGGCGGGGAUGCAAGUCAGAUGUGAAAUCCAUGGGCUUAACUCAUGAACUGCAUUUGAAACUGUAUCUCUUGAGUGCUGGAGAGGUAGAUGGAAUUCCUUGUGUAGCGGUGAAAUGCAUAGAUAUAAGGAAGAACACCAGUGGCGAAGGCGAUCUACUGGACAGUAACUGACGCUGAGGCGCGAAAGCGUGGGGAGCAAACAGGAUUAGAUACCCUGGUA